rnacentral:rRNA from 1 species
AUUGAACGCUGGCGGCAGGCCUAACACAUGCAAGUCGGACGGUAGCACAGAGGAGCUUGCUCCUCGGGUGACGAGUGGCGGACGGGUGAGUAAUGUCUGGGGAUCUGCCCGAUAGAGGGGGAUAGCCACUGGAAACGGUGGCUAAUACCGCAUAACGUCGCAAGACCAAAGAGGGGGACCUUCGGGCCUCUCACUAUCGGAUGAACCCAGAUGGGAUUAGCUAGUAGGCGGGGUAAUGGCCCACCUAGGCGACGAUCCCUAGCUGGUCUGAGAGGAUGACCAGCCACACUGGAGCUGAGACACGGUCCAGACUCCUACGGGAGUCAGCAGUGGGGAAUAUUGCACAAUGGGCGCAAGCCUGAUGCAGCCAUGCCGCGUGUAUGAAGAAGGCCUUCGGGUUGUAAAGUACUUUCAGCGGGGAGGAAGGCGGUGAGGUUAAUAACCUCACCGAUUGACGUUACCCGCAGAAGAAGCACCGGCUAACUCCGUGCCAGCCGCCGCAGUAA